rnacentral:rRNA from 1 species
AACGAACGCUGGCGGCAUGCCUAACACAUGCAAGCCGAACGAUGCCUUCGGGCAUAGUGGCGCACGGGUGCGUAACGCGUGGGAAUCUGACCUUGGCUUCGGAAUAACAGUUAGAAAUGACUGCUAAUACCGGAUGAUGUCCCCCUGAGCGAUCUUGGGGACCAAAGAUUUAUCGGCCAGGGACGAGCGCGCGUAGGAUUAAGUAGUUGGUGGGGUAAUGGCCUACCAAGCCGACGAUCCAUAGCUGGUUUGAGAGGAUGAUCAGCCACACUGGGACUGAGACACGGCCCAGACUCCUACGGGAGGCAGCAGUGGGGAAUCUUAGACAAUGGGGGAAACCCUGAUCUAGCCAUGCCGCGUGAGCGAUGAAGGCCUUAGGGUUGUAAAGCUCUUUCAGUGGGGAAGAUAAUGACGGUACCCACAGAGGAAGCCCCGGCUAACUCCGUGCCAGCCGCCGCCGUAACAC